CCCUUAGAUGUUCUGGGCCGCACGCGCGCUACACUGACUACUUCAACGAGUUGUUUCCUUGAUCGAAAGGUCUGGGUAAUCUUUGAAAGGUAGUCGUGAUGGGGAUAGAUCCUUGCAAUUUUUGAUCUUCAACGAGGAAUUCCCAGUAAACGCAAGUCAUCAGCUUGCAUUGAUUACGUCCCUGCCCUUUGUACACACCGCCCGUCGCACCUACCGAUUGAAUGGUCCGGUGAAUCUUUAGGACUGUGGCUGAGGCCUUGCCUUGUGCGGGUCUGGCCGUGGGAAUUUAGUUAAACCUUACCAUUUAGAGGAAGGUGAAGUCGUAACA
rnacentral:rRNA from 1 species